UGCCAGCCGCCGCGGUAAUACGAAGGGUGCAAGCGUUGUUCGGAUUUAUUGGGCGUAAAGCGCGCGCAGGCGGAUUGGUAAGUCAGGUGUGAAAUCUCGGGGCCCAACCCCGAAACUGCGCCUGAAACUAUUAAUCUAGAGUGACCUAGAGGGAAGGGGAAUUUCACGUGUAGGGGUAAAAUCCGUAGAGAUGUGAAGGAACACCAGAGGCGAAGGCGCCUUCCUGGAGGUCCACUGACGCUGAGGCGCGAAAGCGUGGGGAGCAAACAGGAUUAGAUA
rnacentral:rRNA from 1 species